CUUCAACGAGCCGAGCAGCAGGGGGUGGGCACGGUCCUGCCCAUAGGUGUCCAUGAUCGCCUGCGCCUC
rnacentral:antisense_RNA from 1 species